GGGGCCCAAAGAAGGGCGCUUUGUGAGUGGCCGGUUCCCAUGGCAACCGCUGGGCGCCUCCGCGUCAGCCAGAACCCAGUGGCCCUGCCUAUGGCUGCAACGGAGAGCAAAACACCCUUGGAGAACCAUCAUUUCCACCCCCAGCAUGUCUAAAUAGCUCUGCUUCACUUUCCUGGAAACAAACAUUUCUGCAGCAUCCGCAUGCCAAAUAUCGUGGAUCAACAUGAGUUUAUUUUUUGGAUAUUUCCAGGAGUCAUAGGGGAACAUCUUAGAAGCUCUGUCAUCAUGCUCCACCAGCAACCAGUGGAGAUCUUGCAAAAUGCCACUCACCUGGUCCAUGCAGUAUCAGCCACCUCCCAGUGAUUCUGCAGCCCUGAAGCAGUGGCCGGAGCCUUUUCCUCACAGUGCAGAGGAUCCAGCACCGCUGACCUCAUCUGCCUUCCUUCUUCCCACAAUGGCCACUCUACUACAUGUGCUGCCUUCUCUCUUCCCUGCAAACACACUACCUCCGUCCCUACUCAAGGCCCUGCGUUAGGUCUUUCCUGGGCCUGGAAAAUUCAUAUUGUGUGUGUUUGCCCUGCCUUCUGUCAUUCGGACAACAGUCUCAAAGUUGCCUUUCAGAACAACUUCUCCCGAUUGUGAAACCUGGAGGGAGCUUCCUCUCCCUGACUUUUCCCCUUCUCAUCACCAAUUUUAUUUUUUAUCAAAGUACUUAGCACUACCUGAUCAUUUUUUCUUUAUUUGUUUACUGUUUGUAUUCUCAAAGUAGAAUGUAAACUCUUGUUGGUCUUAUUGACCAAUAAUCUUGAUGUCUAGAACAAUAGGUAGCACAUAGUAGGCUGUCAAUACAUGAGAAAUGAACAAACGAACCUGAUACAGAAACCUUCUGGUUCAUUAUAUCACCAGGCACCCAGGACUAAUGAAGACAGCACAGACACAGCUAUCAAUAAAAUCAGUAAACACAUACCCGGGGUUUGCUACAUGCCUAAGCACUUAGCAUGCAUCAUUCAUGUGUAACUAGCCCUGUGAAUUCUGUACUAUAAAAUCUCACUUCACGAAGGAGCACAUAAAGGACAAACAUGAGACAUUUCUAGGUAAAUGGAUGCACCUUAAGACUAUAAUCUUAAGUGAAAUAAAUUGGAUAUGCAUUUUAAAUCUCCUAUUGCUUCUCUGGUGUGAGAAACCAAAAGGAUAAAGAAAGACCAAAAUAUAUACUAGAUAUUGUGAAACAGGAGGAAAAUGUUCACGUGGGGAGGGGAACAGGGGAAAGGAGAGAAGGAAAAGGAAGAAAGGGCAGAGAAAAAAAAAGAGAACAUAAGG